rnacentral:rRNA from 1 species
UACGAGGGGUGCAAGCGUUGCUCGGAUUUAUUGGGCGUAAAGGGUAGGUAGGUGGUCUUGUUUGUCAGGGGUGAAAUCCCUGGGCUUAACUUAGGAAGUGCCUCUGAUACGGCAAGACUAGAGUUCUGGAGAGGGUUGUGGAAUUCCCGGUGUAGCGGUGAAAUGCGUAGAGAUCGGGAGGAACAUCAGUGGCGAAGGCGACAACCUGGAAAGAUACUGACACUAAACUACGAAAGCGUGGGGAGCAAACAGG